GGACAGGCAGUUUGGAGAGCAUCGGAAAAAUUACUUUUCCAUUUGUGAGUUUUCAUUUUCCUGCAUUUCUCAAUCAUUCUCAGUGCUUGGAUUUUUUUCCUGUUUCGUUCUGGUAAUCUUUUGUGUUUGAUGUUCUCAUUUCUCAGGUAUCAUUUCAGAUUUUGUUCAAUUUCAGUUUCAUCCUCUUCCUGUUUCAAUUCCUAAAAUCAAGUCUCUUCCCAAAUUUAUUUUCAAUUUCUACUGUAAACUGUUAAUGUGUUUUCUAUCAUUGUAUACAAAUCAACUCUACAAAUCUAUUAGAUGUUAAUCUGUUUCAAUUUGCUUAAUACAGUAAACUUUCCUCAAGCAAUUUUUGAAUAAAUUCAAUGUCACUUUAUAAGUUUCCUUUUGAAAUCAAUUCACUGUAAGUUUUCUAUUGAUUCUUUAGUUGUUUCUUGAAAUCAAUUUCAUACUGUUAAUUCUGUUUCAAACAGAUUAAUAAAUCACUUCUGUAAUUCUCUUAUCGUUAUCUUGAAAUCAACUCCAUAUUGUUAAUUCUGUUUUAAACAGAUUAAUAAAUCAUAUUGUUAAUUUCAUUGCUUCUUAGUAUCAUUUUGUAAUUAAUUCAAUACUAAAAAUUCUGUUUCAAGCAAAUUUAUAUUCUUUCUAUUUCAUUGUGUUUAAAUUUCUAUUUUCUUCUUCUCGUUUUAAAUCAAAUGAAUAAACUAAUUCCUACUGUAUUCUUGUGAGAUUUGAUUACUAUCUACAUCUCAUAGUAUUCAUUUAAUCUAGACAAAUAAAUUCUGAUUCUUUACACCUAGGGUUAGGCCUUAAUAUUCCUAGGCUAUCCUGGUGGAUCGGGCUGCCUUCCAAGACCGUCAUGUCGGGUCGGACUGGAUCCUGUAAUAUUACUCAUUGACCACUCCAGUAGCCGAGGGUAUUAUCAAUUUGCUUGAUUUUUAAAGUAGUAUUGUUUAUAAUGACAGCAUUGAAAAAUUAGGGCUUGGAAACAAAUUUGUGUUUUGCUCAGAAAAACAUCCAUAAUGUGAGGAAACAUUAUACCCUAAACAAUUGUAGCCAAAAUAUAAAAAUCCAAUUACCUGAUUGUAAAAUCGUAAAUUAUUAAAAUAACAUGGGUAUAAUUGUACUCAAAUGUAAGACGAGUUUAUUUUUUGGGAUAUUUUUAAAUUGAAUUUUAAUGUUUUUCGAUUUUUUUAUAACGAAUGACCUCUUUACAAAUGUAGAAAUAUCUAAAUGAUAUACCAGAGACAGAAUAUAUAUCAAUUAUAUCUUAAGGUAAAUACUUACGUAGUUAAACUCAAACUCUAGAUUCUCAGAAACCGUAAUAGUUGAGCUAAAGUCCUCUGUGUUCAGUAGUAAUUUAUAUUUUAAAGAUUAACCACACUGAGUUUUAGUUUCCAAUAUGAGAUUAUAUGAAAUUAAUGAAUCAGCAUGGUUAAUUUUAAUCUUAAUGAUAUAAUAUGUUUGAAAAUCUGUCUUGUUUAUCCUCUAAUAAUGACGUAGUAUUGUAAAAUUCAGAUGGAUAGAAUCAAAUAUCUCACAUUAUUUUAUUAUAAAUUAUCUUACAUGAUUCAAUCCUAAAUUUAUUUCAAUUUACAAGAUGUAAUUAUUUUUAUUGAUGCAUUGGUCAGCACAUGGUCCACCUAUGGCUCCACAUGAAACGACCAAACCACGCUUAUUGAUGCCAGAAGCUUGCACCUGCUGUUCAGCCGCCAAAAUGUUUGUUUUGAUCUUGUUUUCCAUCUCUAGAAGAAGAAAAUGGAUUUGAAUAACAAAAAUGAUAUUUGAGAAAAGCAUUGUCAAGUCAAAGAAUAUAUAGACUGUUGGGAUGUGGCGUAAUUUUGAUAAAUGAAAAUCACUUGUCAGAAAGUAAGAAAAAUUCUGGAGUUACCGAAUUUCAUUAUUAUAGUUUGGGCUUAUAUACGAGAUGGGCUGAAUUGGGCCCUUUGAAUGAUUGAGUAUAAAUGGAUUUUCGGGUCUAAUCUUGGGCCUUGCAAUGAUCAAUAGGAGCUGAUCAGGUGAAUUUAACGUAA
rnacentral:lncRNA from 1 species